rnacentral:rRNA from 1 species
UACGGGGGGGGGCAAGCGUUGUUCGGAAUUACUGGGCGUAAAGAGCGUGUAGGCGGCCUGAAAGGUCAGCUGUGAAAACUCGAGGCUCAACCUCGAGACGUCGGUUGAAACCAUCUGGCUAGAGUCCGGAAGAGGAGUGUGGAAUUCCCGGUGUAGCGGUGAAAUGCGCAGAUAUCGGGAAGAACACCCGUGGCGAAGGCGGCACUCUGGGACGGUACUGACGCUGAGACGCGAAAGCGUGGGGAGCGAACAGG